GUGAUUGCCAUCUUGGCUUAAACUAUAUCCAUCUACACCUGUGAACCGUUUGAUUGAAUCUCUGAUUCAAUUUUACAAACAUUGUGUAAUGAACGUCAUUAGAUCAUAACUAAAAA
rnacentral:misc_RNA from 2 species